rnacentral:rRNA from 1 species
UACGUAGGUCCCGAGCGUUGUCCGGAUUUAUUGGGCGUAAAGCGAGCGCAGGUGGUUUAAUAAGUCUGAUGUAAAAGGCAGUGGCUCAACCAUUGUGUGCAUUGGAAACUGUUAGACUUGAGUGCAGUAGAGGAGAGUGGAAUUCCAUGUGUAGCGGUGAAAUGCGUAGAUAUAUGGAGGAACACCGGUGGCGAAAGCGGCUCUCUGGACUGUAACUGACACUGAGGCUCCAAAGCGUGGGUAGCAAACAGG